rnacentral:lncRNA from 1 species
UUACAUUGGCUUUUCGUAACAUUAAUCCGAGCACACCAACGCGUCGGAAAUACCCCCAAUUAGGUUUCUAGAGGGUCAAUUGCACUUAGAAAUUCCCAUGAGCAAAAGCCCCAAUUUGGUGCCCUAGCUCCAAUACAUAUAUCAAACCUAGGGUUUGAUCUCAUUGGGAAGCAAAAGUAGCUUCAAUAUACUCUAAGGAGUUCAUCUAAACCAUUCCUAGCUCAU